GAAACAAUUGUCAUUAGUGUCGUACUAUAUAAUGGCGGUGUCUUUUAAGAAUAAGACAUACAUAUUUUAAGUUAAUUACAUGAAAAGGAACGUUUGCUCCCAAUAAAAAUCUAUUGUACAAUCAACAUUUUUGGAAGAAACUAAUCAAUUUCUGUUUCCUCCUUUUGUGAGGAGUUGGCCCUUAAUCCACAUAGUCGACGAUGAAAACCACGUGGGAAUAAACCACUAACUUCAGCUAUUUUUGACAACACAAGACACUAACAUGGUCAACAUCCAAGGCCUACACACUUCAUCUGGAUCCAACAACAUCCAGUUCCAACCUCCACACAGAACCACGCAAUUCGUCAAUACUUCUAUACCAUACCUAAGUAUCAUUCCAUCUUUGUAAAGCUAUAGGCAGGAUUUGCUUGCACACAUAAAGUAUCAUUAUAUAACUUUGUUUUAUGAUAAAUAAAUAUGAUUAAUUCUU